rnacentral:rRNA from 1 species
ACGCGAAGAACCUUACCUGGGUUUGACAUAUAGAGGAUCGCCGGAGAGAUUCGGUUUGCCUUGUGCCUUCUAUACAGGUGGUGCAUGGCUGUCGUCAGCUCGUGUCGUGAGAUGUUGGGUUAAGUCCCGCAACGAGCGCAACCCUUGUCUCAUGUUGCCAGCACGUAAUGGUGGGGACUCGUGAGAGACUGCCGGGGUCAACUCGGAGGAAGGUGGGGAUGACGUCAAGUCAUCAUGCCCCUUAUGUCCAGGGCUUCACACAUGCUACAAUGGCGCGUACAGAGGGCUGCGAUACCGCGAGGUGGAGCGAAUCCCUUAAAGCGCGUCUCAGUUCGGAUUGGGGUCUGCAACUCGACCCCAUGAAGUCGGAGUCGCUAGUAAGU